rnacentral:tRNA from 1 species
GGGGAUGUAGCUCAGUUGGUUAGAGCACGUAAAUAUUGAGGUUUGUGAAAAUCUCAAACAGCAAUAUACUUUUUGCUCUGGUAAAGCCGUGGUCGCAGGUUCAAUUCCUGCCGUCCCCA